CUCAUAGCGUAUAUUUAAGUUGUUGCAGUUAAAAAGCUCGUAGUCGGAUUUUGGCUGAGAACGAACGGUCCGCCGUUAGGUGUGCACUGUUUGGUCUCAGCUUCCUGGUGAGGAGGUGUGCUUCACGGCCACUUAGUCACCGUGGUUACUUUGAAAAAAUUAGAGUGUUCAAAGCGGGCUUACGCUUGAAUAUAUUAGCAUGGAAUAACACCAUAGGACUCCUGUCCUAUUUCGUUGGUCUCGGGACGGGAGUAAUGAUUAAGAGGAACAGUUGGGGGCAUUCGUAUUUCAUUGUCAGAGGUGAAAUUCUUGGAUUUAUGAAAGACGAACUUCUGCGAAAGCAUUUGCCAAGGAUGUUUUCAUUGAUCAAGAACGAAAGUUGGGGGCUCGAAGAUGAUUAGAUACCAUCCUAGUCUCA
rnacentral:rRNA from 1 species